AGCAGCCGCGGUAAUUCCAGCUCCAAUAGCGUAUAUUAAAGUUGUUGCAGUUAAAAAGCUCGUAGUUGAAUUUCGGGAUCAAUAUGUCGGUCGUGCCUUCGGUACGUACUGGUAUCAUUGGUCUCUCCUUUCUGACGAACCAUGAUGUCAUUAAUUUGGUGUUAUGGGGAGUUAGGACUGUUACUUUGAAAAAAUUAGAGUGUUUAAAGCAGGCUUUAGCUUGAAUACAUUAGCAUGGAAUAAUGAAAUAGGACGUUCGAACCUAUUUUGUUGGUUUCUAGGAUCAACGUAAUGAUUAAUAGGGAUAGUUGGGGGCAUUAGUAUUCAAUUGUCAGAGGUGAAAUUCUUGGAUUUAUUGAAGACUAACUACUGCGAAAGCAUUUGCCAAGGAUGUUUUCAUUAAUCGAGAACGAAAGUUAGGGAUCGAAGACGAUCAGAUACC
rnacentral:rRNA from 1 species